GACGAACGCUGGCGGCGUGCUUAACACAUGCAAGUCGAACGGAAAGGCCCUGCUUUUGUGGGGUGCUCGAGUGGCGAACGGGUGAGUAACACGUGAGUAACCUGCCCUUGACUUUGGGAUAACUUCAGGAAACUGGGGCUAAUACCGGAUAGGAGCUCCUGCUGCAUGGUGGGGGUUGGAAAGUUUCGGCGGUUGGGGAUGGACUCGCGGCUUAUCAGCUUGUUGGUGGGGUAGUGGCUUACCAAGGCUUUGACGGGUAGCCGGCCUGAGAGGGUGACCGGACAAGCUGGACUGGAACGCAGACACGGCCCAGACGGGGAGGGGAGGGGGGGGUGUGGGACAGAGGGGGAGGAGGCCGAACCCGACCCAGCCGGGUGGGGGGGGCGGUCAUGGGGUUAGGAUACCGAUUCCCCUUGAGAGGAGGGGAGAAUGACGGUAAUGGGAAAAGAAGCCCCGGCUAACUCCGUG
rnacentral:rRNA from 1 species